rnacentral:lncRNA from 1 species
ACAAACAAAUAUGCAUUAAAAAAUGAACAUAUAAAUUAUUUAAUUUUACAAUUCCAUAGAAAGUAUUCUAUAAGCGCUACAAUACCAUAAAAAACACAAAGAAACAUUUCACUAAAUAAAAUUUAAAAUCAUUAAUGUUUUCUUAACGAAUAAAUAAAUCAUUAAUGUUUUAAAUAUAUUUCCGUUUAAUAAAACAUUUAAA